GACGAACGCUGGCGGCGCGCUUAACACAUGCAAGUCGAGCGAGAACCAGGGCUUCGGCUCUGGGGACAGCGGCGAACGGGUGAGUAACACGUGGGUAAUCUGCCCUCGGCACCGGAAUAGCCCGGGGAAACCCGGAUUAAUUCCGGAGGGACCCUUCCCCUCGCGAGGUGUCGGGAAAAGGUAGCUGUGGCCUCCGGCCGAGGAUGACCCCGGGGGGGAUUAGCUUGUUGGCGGGGUAACGGCCAACCAAGGCAACGAUCCGUAGCUCGUCUGAGAGGACGAUCAGCCACACUGGGACUGAGACACGGCCCAGACUCCGACGGGAGGCAGCAGUGGGGAAUCUUGCGCAAUGGGCGAAAGCCUGACGCAGCGACGCCGCGUGAGGGAAGAAGGCCUUCGGGUUGUAAACCUCUUUCAGGAGGGACGAAGCCACUCGGGUGAAUAGCCCAGAGGGUGACGGUACCUCCAGAAGAAGCCCCGGCUAACUACGUGCCAGCCGCCGCCGUAACAC
rnacentral:rRNA from 1 species